GGGUGAUUAGCUCACUGGUAGAGCAAUUGACUGCAGAUCAAUAGGUAAUUGGUUCGAUUCCGAUAUCGCCCU
rnacentral:tRNA from 1 species